UACGUAGGGGGCUAGCGUUGUCCGGAUUUAUUGGGCGUAAAGAGCGUGUAGGCGGCCAGGUAGGUCUGGUGUGAAAACUCGAGGCUUAACCUCGAGAUGUCAUCGGAAACCAUCUGGCUAGAGUCCGGAAGAGGAGAGUGGAAUUCCUGGUGUAGCGGUGAAAUGCGCAGAUAUCAGGAGGAACACCGGUGGCGAAGGCGGCAUCCUGGACCGGUAUUGACGCUGAUGCGCGAAAGCCAGGGGAGCAAACGGG
rnacentral:rRNA from 1 species